rnacentral:rRNA from 1 species
GACGAACCGUGCGAACGUUAUUCGGAAUCACUGGGCUUAAAGAGCGUGUAGGCGGUUUGGUAGGUCCGUUGUGAAAACUCGAGGCUCAACCUCGAGACGCCGAUGGAAACCAUCAGACUAGAGUCCGGAAGAGGAGAGUGGAAUUCCUGGUGUAGCGGUGGAAUGCGCAGAUAUCAGGAGGAACACCGGUGGCGAAGGCGGGUCUCUGGGCAGUAACUGACGCUGAGGAGCGAAAGCGUGGGGAGCGAACAGG